UACGUAGGGGGCGAGCGUUGUCCGGAAUCAUUGGGCGUAAAGCGCGUGUAGGCGGCUCGUUAAGUCCGGUGUGAAACCUUGGGGCUCAACCCCAAGCCUGCACUGGAUACUGACGAGCUCGAGUCCGGGAGGGGAGAGCGGAAUUCCCAGUGUAGCGGUGAAAUGCGCAGAUAUUAGGAAGAACACCGGUGGCGAAGGCGGCUCUCUGGAACGGUACUGACGCUGAGACGCGAAAGCGUGGGGAGCGAACAGG
rnacentral:rRNA from 1 species